ACUGGUGACCACAGGCGCGUGGAAACACCCGUUCCCAUCCCGAACACGUUCGUUAAGCACGCAGCCGCCGAUGGUAGUGCCACCUGAUGUGGUGUGAGAGUAGGUUAUUGCCAGGU
rnacentral:rRNA from 1 species